rnacentral:rRNA from 1 species
AUACGGAGGGUGCAAGCGUUAUUCGGAAUCACUGGGCGUAAAGGACGCGUAGGCGGGUUGGCAAGUCAGAUGUGAAAUCCUACAGCUUAACUGUAGAACUGCAUUUGAAACUGCUAACCUAGAGUAUGGGAGGGGGAGAUGGAAUUAGUGGUGUAGGGGUAAAAUCCGUAGAUAUCACUAGGAAUACCGAAAGCGAAGGCGAUCUCCUGGAACAUAACUGACGCUAAGGCGUGAAAGCGGGGGGAGCAAACAGGAUUAGAAACCCUUGUAGUCC